rnacentral:rRNA from 1 species
AUUGAACGCUGGCGGCAGGCCUAACACAUGCAAGUCGAGCGAGCGGCGGACGGGUGAGUAAUGUCUGGGAAACUGCCUGAUGGAGGGGGAUAACUACUGGAAACGGUAGCUAAUACCGCAUACCAUCAGAUGUGCCCAGAUGGGAUUAGCUAGUAGGUGGGGUAACGGCACACCUAGGCGACGAUCCCUAGCUGGUCUGAGAGGAUGAACAGCCACAGUGGAACUGAGACACGGCCCAGACCACGCCGGGAGGCGGCAGUGGGGAAUAUUGCACAAUGGGCGCAAGCCUAAGGUAGCCAUGCCGCGUGUGUGAAGAAGGCCUUCGGGUUGUAAAGCACUUUCAGCGUGGAGGCGUUACCCGCAGAAGAAGCACCGGCUAACGCCGUGCCAGCAGCCGCGGUAAUUC